rnacentral:ncRNA from 1 species
AUAUUAAUGUUACGAGGAUUAGUAGACUAGUCAACGUGUUCAGAAACUAAGUGGUUGUUGCGAACUUAGCGCGUUGGCCUGCCGAACUCACCUCUUUAUCUUCUGGCUGAACAAUCAGUAGGCCAGGACGUCUGGUUCGCGUUACGAAUUUGAGAGCCCAUUAUUGGGAAUAUUAGGUGGUACCGCGGCUAGUUCGUCCUAUAA